UUCCGGUUGAUCCUGCCGGACCUGACUGCUAUCGGAUUGGUACUAAGCCAUGCGAGUCAUUGUAGCAAUACAAGGCGGACGGCUCAGUAACACGUAGUCAACCUAACUCGUGGACGUGGAUAACCUCGGGAAACUGAGAAUAAACCACGAUAGACCAUAGUGCCUGGAAUGGCUUAUGGUCCAAACAGUUUACUGCCAUGGGAUGGGACUGCGGCCUAUCAGCUUGUUGGAGAGGUAAUGGCCCACCAAGGCGAUUACAGGUACGGGCUCUGAGAGGAGAAGCCCGGAGAUGGGUACUGAGACACGGACCCAGGCCCUAUGGGGCGCAGCAGGCGAGAAACCUUAGCAAUGUGCGAAAGCACGACUGGGUCAGUUCGAGUGAUUCCUGAUAAAGGAGUCUUUUGCUUGUCCUAAAAGCACAGGUGAAUAAGGGGUGGGCAAGUCUGGUGUCAGCCGCCGCGGUAAUACCAGCACCUCGAGUGGUCAGGACGUUUAUUGGGCCUAAAGCAUCCGUAGCCGGCUUUGCAAGUCUUCGGUUAAAUCCACCUGCUCAACAGAUGGGCCGCUGGAGGUACUACAAAGCUAGGGAGUGGGAGAGGCAGACGGUAUUCAGUGGGUAGGGGUAAAAUCCUCUGAUCCAUUGAGGACUACCAGUGGCGAAGGCGGUCUGCCAGAACACGUUCGACGGUGAGGGAUGAAAGCUGGGGGAGCAAACCGGAUUAGAUACCCGGGUAGUCCCAACUGUAAACGAUGCUAACUCGGUGAUGCAUUGGCUUAUGGCCAAUGCAGUGCCGCAGGGAAGCCGUUAAGUUUGCCGCCUGGA
rnacentral:rRNA from 1 species